CCGCAUGUGAAUAGUAAACACGGCUGUAAUACAGAGGCUUACUUAAGUCCUGGAAGGUCUCGCACUGAUGCCGAGAUCUCUGCUGCUUCAGGGCACAGUUUUUCUACCAACUCAAGAGGACCCCACAGAGACUUGUUAAAGCCCAGGAAAGACUUCUUCACUGAAAAUGUGCAAAAGGCCAUGUUUGAGGCAGUGCUCCAUGACAACGAAGAACUGCUGCAGAGGGGGAUAGUCUGAGUCCAGGGUCCUCCCGAAGCUCAGCGCAGACUCAAUCAGACCCUUGAUGCUCAGCUUGGCCAUAUUCAACAGGUUAGCGCGCUCCAUGGCCAUCGGGUCACGGAAGGCUGCAGAGAGACAGGAAAAUCACAAACAAAACAACUGUGAGUCCUGAGUGAUUGUGUAAGAAAGAGUAAAGUUUGACUCAGGAGAAACUGUGGCAGAUGUUCCAGGAGCACACGAUGGCCCUACCCCCAACACCUCCCAUUUGUACUGGAUCUGCAGUUAACCCCCGGAAAGAAUUGACCACACAAGCACGCACAUACACAUACAAAGCACACCGCUGCCCACAUCUCCACGGGCUCAACAGUUGUCCAACUGAAUGAACACUCACACAGUGCAGACCAAAUCCCCUUGGUCUGUCUGAUAGCAGCACACAGGGGUCAGGCCUGGUGUCAGCGUCCAGAGUGCAGUGUCUCUGGGCAGCUGGCCAGGAUAAUCCUUCUGCUGGAGGCCACUGCUUCUCAAACUAAAGGCCAUGGACCCCCAGGGGGCACAGGGCAGCUAUGUGAGGGAACAGCACAAUCUCACGUUUGUUGAAAAAUAUAUUCUUUGGAAGAUUAGAUUUUGUAAAUUUGGUCUGUUUACAUGUUAUGUUGCAUGCAUUGCCAGCCUUGCAUUAUUGAUUUCUGUUGGAGACAACCAGGUGCCAACAAAGGUGUGAAGCUUCAUUACCAAAACCCAUGUCUGCCUCACACACUACUAUUACAGGUGCCAAAUCCUGACAGGGAGCAGGUUGCCUUC